GGAUUAAAGUUGGAAACAAUCUAGCCUCUUUUGGAAAUUUUUCUAGUAACUGAGGUGGGUGCUAUUUUCUUUUUGUUCUGUCUUUCGUGUUAUUAGUGAUACAGGAAUUAAGAAUUCUGUUUUGAGCUACAGUUGAUGCUCUUGAAAGGGUACUUAUUUUUGAUCCUACAAGACUUGUUGGAGUGCAAAAAAUACGUUAUGAAUCCGGUUAUUGAUCCUACAAUCAUUCAAUUCAUGCUAGAGUUCCAAGUUAUGCUGUUGACAGAGGAGUUCCUUUUUUGCUAUUGUUUUAAGUUUCUUUUUUUUGAAUUUUUUAAGUAUCUCGAGCUUGUCUCUAAGGCGGAGAUCUAUUAUUUGCGUUGGGGUCUGUCCCUAGGAUAGGUUAAUGGAGCUGUUGGAUGUGGUUCUGUUAGAUCGCUGGAUGGUGGAUGAGUGGUGUUCUUUUAUUGGGCUUGUUGCUCCCUCGUAUUCUGCUUGCUGUCAUCUAAGAAGCUCGUAUGUUGUAACACUUGGCCCAAUUGGGCCCUGAAUCAAGCCCAUAUGAGGAAAAAAAAAAAAUUUCUCGUUGGAGUCUUCUUCUUCUUUCCCGCAUUCGAUUGGGAGGAGGACUCCUAGAGCCACAAGGAACCCUAAGAAGACCUCUAUAAAAUCCCCCUUCCCUUCUCCAUGGCUAGCCACGACGAGCAUCGGAUUUCUCUUUUUAUUUUUCUCGAAUUUUUCCGUUGAAGCUGCGGAUGUCCUCAUCGUAUUCAUCUCAAAUACUCAUCGGAAACCUCACCAGAAUCAGAGGUAAGCCCUUCUCCUCUUUUCCCUCUUCCUUCCCCUCCUUUCCACGGCAAGGUGCACCCUCGCCGGCCGUCGAGCUCGUCAGAAAAUCCAUGAAAAAGUUGAACCUCUGUUUUACUCUGUUUUGGUCAGACCCUUUCCUCCUCUUUUUCAGCCACCGGCACCGCCGUUUGCGGUGUCUCACCCCUAGGAUAGGACCUCAUCUCUCUAUCACUCUUCUCCUAGAGGUUUUGGCCACCGGCGACAGGCCAA
rnacentral:lncRNA from 1 species